UACAGGGGGAGCGAACGUUACUCGGAAUCACUGGGCAUAAAGGGCGCGUAGGCGGUCCUGUAAGUCGGAUGUGAAAGACCUUGGCUCAACCAAGGAAUGGCAUCCGAUACUGCGGGGCUUGAGGCCAAGAGGGGCAAGCGGAACUCCUGGUGGAGCGGUGAAAUGCGUAGAUAUCAGGAGGAACACCGGUGGCGAAGGCGGCUUGCUGGAUUGGUUCUGACGCUGAGGCGCGAAAGCCAGGGGAGCAAACGGGAUUAGAUACCCCGGUAGUCC
rnacentral:rRNA from 1 species